GGGAAGAUGGCUCAGUGGUAGAGCACUUGCCUUGCAUGCAUGAGGCCCUGGGUUCGAUUCCUCAGCACCCCA
rnacentral:tRNA from 1 species